UUGGAGGGCAAGUCUGGUGCCAGCAGCCGCGGUAAUUCCAGCUCCAAUAGCGUAUAUUAAAGUUGUUGCAGUUAAAAAGCUCGUAGUUGAAUUUCGGGAUUGGCGCAUCGGUCGUGCCUCACGGGGUAUGAACUGGUGCAGUCAAUUUCUCACCUUCUGGAGAACCGCGAUGUCCUUAAUUGGAUGCCGCGGGGAACCAGGACCUUUACUUUGAAAAAAUUAGAGUGUUUAAAGCAGGCAUUUUUGCUUGAAUACAUUAGCAUGGAAUAAUAAAAUAGGACGGCAUGGUUCUAUUUUGUUGGUUUCUAGGACCACCGUAAUGAUUAAUAGGGAUAGUUGGGGGCAUUAGUAUUCAAUUGUCAGAGGUGAAAUUCUUGGAUUUAUUGAAGACUAACUACUGCGAAAGCAUUUGCCAAGGAUGUUUUCAUUAAUCAGGAACGAAAGUUAGGGGAUCGAAGACGAUCAGAUACCGUCGUAGUCUUAACCAUAAACUAUGCCGACUAGGAAUCAGACGAUGUUAAUUUUUUAAUGACUCGUUUGGCACCUUACGGGAAACCAAAGUGUUUGGGUUC
rnacentral:rRNA from 1 species